UGCACUGUUUCUCACGCCAUCGUCAUUGUCGCCGCGUACAUUUUUUCCGUCCGGCCGUCCGUCAAUGGUGACUGGAGGUACCCGCCGUUACUCGAUAAGGCCUUUUGUGGAUGGAUGACUGGCCUCUCUUCUUCUCUCGCCAUUCUCCCCUCUCAUCUUUUUUCUGUCCAUUGAGAGGGCGCACGCGCCUCGCCCUUCUUCUCCUCUACUGGAAGAUUGGGGGACACUUCGUGGUGAACUGGCUGACCAUGGAAUAAGAGAAACGCGCCGCGCAUCUGCAGUAUUUGAAAAGAGCGCCCACUCCGCGUCAUCAAAUCGCCACUGUCAUUGGGCACAGUCGAAGUUGUUUCCGAAAUCAAUUCAAAA
ensembl:ncRNA T04C12.15 ncRNA